rnacentral:tRNA from 1 species
GCCCAGGUAGCUCAGUUGGUAGAGCAGAGGAUUGAAAAUCCUCGUGUCGGCGGUUCGAUUCCGUCCCUGGGCACCA